rnacentral:rRNA from 1 species
CCUACGGGGGACUGCAGUGAGGAAUAUUGGUCAAUGGACGAGAGUCUGAACCAGCCAAGUAGCGUGAAGGAUGACUGCCCUAUGGGUUGUAAACUUCUUUUAUAUGGGAAUAAAAUGUUCCACGUGUGGGCUUUUGUAUGUACCCUAUGAAUAAGGAUCGGCUAACUCCGUGCCAGCAGCCGCGGUAAUACGGAGGAUCCGAGCGUUAUCCGGAUUUAUUGGGUUUAAAGGGAGCGUAGGUGGAUUGUUAAGUCAGUUGUGAAAGUUUGCGGCUCAACCGUAAAAUUGCAGUUGAAACUGGCAGUCUUGAGUACAGUAGAGGUGGGCGGAAUUCGUGGUGUAGCGGUGAAAUGCUUAGAUAUCGCGAAGAACUCCGAUUGCGAAGGCAGCUCACUGGACUGAAACUGACACUGAGGCUCGAAAGUGUGGGUAUCAAACAGGAUUAGAUACCCGAGUAGUC